rnacentral:lncRNA from 1 species
GUGGGGCGCUGACGCGCUCCUCCCCGGAGCGUAUGGCAGCGCAGCGCCGGACGGGGCGUUCUCCCUCCCCCCCUCCUCUCGCUUCCAUCUCCGCCGUCUCCUCGGUCUCCCUUCCCAUCCCGGCCCCUCCUCCGCCAGCCGCGUCCUCCCGGGCUUGGUGAGGAACUGUUCCUGGAGGAGCCGCGGGACGCCAAAACCAGCCAAUGGGAAGCGGCGAUUCGCGGAGAUUGGCACUGAUGAUGGGAAGGAAUAUUGAUCUCAGCGUUACUUUGACCAUUAAUGAAUUAUGAUGGCAAUAAGCAAAGAUUCGCACCUCUAGCCUCCGGGGAGCUUAAUCUUCUGCUACAACAUUUGCAUUUGCAGUGUUUAAGGAGGAUCCAGGAAUACUUUAAGUGACGCCAGCGUUAGUGUUGCCUCCUCAGAAGACUGCUUUCAGGGGAACAGUAUACAUCUGCCCUGUAAAUUCUGGAUGGUAAAUAUGACAAAAACUCUCUCCUUGACCCAGCUCUAGUGAGACUGCUCUAAGCCCUCUUCUCAACAUGGCUCAACCUUGGGCUUCAGUGUACAUUUUGUUGGGCCUGCAUUGCUCAGUUUUAGCAAGAGUCCAGUUAAGUGAAAGAGAAUCUCACAGCUUUGAUAUCAGAUUCUUCCAUAUCUAAACAAAUUCCUCAUCCCCUACCUUCAAUAUCUGAUCACUCUGCCCUGUUUGCACCAAGAAUCUACCCUCACCCUUGAUGUCUCCUCUUAAUAAUUUUCCAUCCACCAAUCUC